AUAUCAAUAAGCGGAGGAAAAGAAACCAACAGGGAUUGCCCUAGUAACGGCGAGUGAAGCGGCAACAGCUCAAAUUUGAAAUCUGGCCCUCGCGGUCCGAGUUGUAAUUUGUAGAGGAUGCUUUUGGUGCGGCGCCUUCCGAGUUCCCUGGAACGGGACGCCGGAGAGGGUGAGAGCCCCGUACGGUUGGACGCCUAGCCUAUAUAUAGCUCCUUCGACGAGUCGAGUAGUUUGGGAAUGCUGCUCUAAAUGGGAGGUAAAUUUCUUCUAAAGCUAAAUACCGGCCAGAGACCGAUAGCGCACAAGUAGAGUGAUCGAAAGAUGAAAAGCACUUUGAAAAGAGGGUUAAAUAGCACGUGAAAUUGUUGAAAGGGAAGCGUUUGCGACCAGACUUUUUCCAGGGGAAUCAUCCGGUGUUCUCACCGGUGCACUUCCCCUGGUUUAGGCCAGCGUCGGUUCUCUUAGGGGGAUAAAGGCUUGGGGAACGUAGCUCUUUCGGGAGUGUUAUAGCCCCUCGCGUAAUACCCUUCGGGGGACCGAGGAUCGCGCUCUGCAAGGACGCUGGCGUAAUGGUCGUCAACGACCCGUCUUGAAACACGGACCAAGGAGUCGAACAUUUGUGCGAGUGUUUGGGUGUUAAACCCUCACGCGUAAUGAAAGUGAACGGAGGUGAGAGCCCUCACGGGUGCAUCAUCGACCGAUCCUGAUGUCUUCGGAUGGAUUUGAGUAAGAGCAUAACUGUUCGGACCCGAAAGAUGGUGAACUAUGCGUGGAUAGGGUGAAGCCAGAGGAAACUCUGGUGGAGGCUCGCAGCGGUUCUGACGUGCAAAUCGAUCGUCAAAUCUGCGCAUGGGGGCGAAAGACUUAUCGAACCAUCUAGUAGCUGGUUACCG
rnacentral:rRNA from 1 species